ACGGGAGGCAGCAGUGGGGAAUUUUGGACAAUGGGCGCAAGCCUGAUCCAGCGAUGCCGCGUGAGUGAAGAAGGCCUUCGGGUUGUAAAGCUCUUUCAGUCGAGAAGAAAAGGCUGCAGUGAAUAACUGUAGUUUAUGACGGUAUCGACAGAAGAAGCACCGGCUAACUACGUGCCAGCAGCCGCGGUAAUACGUAGGGUGCGAGCGUUAAUCGGAAUUACUGGGCGUAAAGGGUGCGCAGGCGGUUUUGUAAGUCAGAUGUGAAAUCCCCGGGCUUAACCUGGGAAUUGCGUUUGAAACUACAAGACUAGAGUGUGGCAGAGGGAGGUGGAAUUCCAUGUGUAGCAGUGAAAUGCGUAGAGAUAUGGAAGAACAUCGAUGGCGAAGGCAGCCUCCUGGGUUAACACUGACGCUCAUGCACGAAAGCGUGGGGAGCAAACAGGAUUAGAUACCCUGGUAGUCCACGCCCUAAACGAUGUCAACUAGUUGUCGGGCCUUACUAGGCUUGGUAACGAAGCUAACGCGUGAAGUUGACCGCCUGGGGAGUACGGUCGCAAGAUUAAAACUCAAAGGAAUUGACGGGGACCCGCACAAGCGGUGGAUUAUGUGGAUUAAUUCGAUGCAACGCGAAAAACCUUACCUACCCUUGACAUGUAGCGAAUUUUCUAGAGAUAGAUUAGUGCCUUCGGGAACGCUAACACAGGUGCUGCAUGGCUGUCGUCAGCUCGUGUUGUGAGAUGUUGGGUUAAGUCCCGCAACGAGCGCAACCCUUGUCAUUAAUUGCCAUCAUUUAGUUGGGCACUUUAAUGAGACUGCCGGUGACAAACCGGAGGAAGGUGGGGAUGACGUCAAGUCCUCAUGGCCCUUA
rnacentral:rRNA from 1 species